rnacentral:rRNA from 1 species
AACGAACGCUGGCGGCAUGCCUUACACAUGCAAGUCGAACGGCAGCACGGGAGCUUGCUCCUGGUGGCGAGUGGCGAACGGGUGAGUAGUACAUCGGAACGUACCCAGGAGUGGGGGAUAACGCAGCGAAAGUUACGCUAAUACCGCAUAUUCUGUGAGCAGGAAAGCGGGGGAUCGCAAGACCUCGCGCUCUUGGAGCGGCCGAUGUCGGAUUAGCUAGUUGGUGAGGUAAAAGCUCACCAAGGCGACGAUCCGUAGCAGGUCUGAGAGGAUGAUCUGCCACACUGGGACUGAGACACGGCCCAGACUCCUACGGGAGGCAGCAGUGGGGAAUUUUGGACAAUGGGGGCAACCCUGAUCCAGCCAUGCCGCGUGAGUGAAGAAGGCCUUCGGGUUGUAAAGCUCUUUCGGCGGGGAAGAAAUGGCAACGGCUAAUAUCCGUUGUUGAUGACGGUACCCGCAUAAGAAGCACCGGCUAACUACGUGCCAGCAGCCGCAGUAACAC